GAUGAACGCUGGCGGAAUGCUUAACACAUGCAAGUCAACCGGAAGCUGGGUUUUUAACUUCGGUUUGGGUGGCGGACGGGUGAGUAAGUCGUAAAUAACUUGCCUCACAGCUAUGGACAACAUUUGGAAACGAAAGCUAAUACCUAAUACUAUAAUAAUAGUACAUCCUAAAAUUAGGAAAGCUAUAAGCUCUGUGAGAGAGCUUUGCGGUACAUGAGCUAGUUGGUGAGGUAACGGCUCACCAAGGCGAGGAUGGGUAGCCGGCCUGAGAGGGUGAUCGGCUACAAGGGGCUUGGGACACCGCCCUUAGGCAUUCGUGCGGAAGGGGUGGGAACUUGUGCCAGCCAGACCGCGUGUCUGAUGCAGCCCUUCUGUGUGUAAGAUGAUGUUUUUCGGAAUGAAAAGUGCUUUCAGUUGGGCAGAAACUUCUGACGGUACCAAAAGAAGAAGUGACGGCUAACUACGUG
rnacentral:rRNA from 1 species